UGCUACGGUGGUAAAGCCAGUCUUGAUUUGAUUUCUGAUUCAUGGAAGGUUUCACAGUCUGAGGUGCCCCAGAAAGUUGAGAGCUUGAGGCUGCUAGAGGAGUUCCAGCAGAGGUGGAGGGAAAUGCCAUUUAGUGAAAGAGUUUCUUGGGCCGUGGGAGGUUUGGUUCUUACAGCAGGCCUGUUGUUUGUAAGCAAAAGGAAAAGCCGUCAUCAGCGCCACAAGCUAGCUGCUUUAAAACACUAUAAGAAACUUGAAGCCAAGAUGAGCCAGAAAUCUCCCAGUAGUCCAGGAAAUAGGAAAAGCAAGUAAAAGAUGAAUUUCUCUCUUGUACGGGAAAGUAUUUAGUUAUGACAGCUUACAGAUGGUGUAUCAAUAUAUUGUUAUAAAAAGUUUAUGCCCUUGUUCUUUGGUUGUUGUAUGAAAAGUGAAUGGUGUAUUAGUCGACUAGUAUUUGUUCAAAAUUUUCGAGUACUUUGUUCCA